rnacentral:rRNA from 1 species
GACGAACGCUGGCGGCGUGCUUAACACAUGCAAGUCGAGCGGUAAGGCUCCUUCGGGAGUACACGAGCGGCGAACGGGUGAGUAACACGUGAGCAAUCUGCCCUUCACACGGGAGUAACUCCGGGAACCGGGUGCUAAUACCCGACUACGACCACUUCAGGCAUCUGAUGGUGGUGGAAAGACUCCGGCGGUGAAGGAUGAGCUCGCGGCCUAUCAGCUUGUUGGUGGG